AAAGCUCAAUUUUGAAAUCCCCCCACCGGGGGAGUUGUAAUUUGAAGACCCGGGGAUUUGGCCCAAGCCUGCGCAAGUCCAUUGGAACAUGGCGCCCAAGAGGGUGAGAGCCCCGUCGCGCAGGCCGCACGCCUUGACAUCCCCCCGUCAAAGAGUCGAGUUGUUUGGGAAUGCAGCUCAAAGUGGGUGGUAAAUUCCAUCUAAAGCUAAAUAUUGGCGAGAGACCGAUAGCGAACAAGUACAGUGAUGGAAAGAUGAAAAGCACUUUGAAAAGAGAGUGAAACAGUACGUGAAAUUGUUGAAAGGGAAGGGCUUGCAAGCAGACACGAGUUCGCUCGGGCCAGCAUCAAUUUCGCGAGGUGGACAACACGCCAGGAACGUGGCAGGCUCCGGCCUGUGUUAUAGCCUGCGCGCCAUACACCUCCGCGAGAUUGAGGCCUGCUUCCACAAAGGAUGCUGGCGUAAUGGUUGCAAGUCGCCCGUCUUGAACCACGGACCCAUAAAGGGAUUUAAAGGAAAAAAAUUAACAGCAGAUAA
rnacentral:rRNA from 2 species